GAUGAACGCUGGCGGCGUGCCUAAUACAUGCCAGUCGAGCGAGCAGACGAGGAGCUUGCUCCUCUGACGUUAGCGGCGGACGGGUGAGUAACACGUGGAUAACCUACCUAUAAGACUGGGAUAACUUCGGGAAACCGGAGCUAAUACCGGAUAAUAUAUUGAACCGCAUGGUUCAAUAGUGAAAGACGGUUUUGCUGUCACUUAUAGAUGGAUCCGCGCCGCAUUAGCUAGUUGGUAAGGUAACGGCUUACCAAGGCAACGAUGCGUAGCCGACCUGAGAGGGUGAUCGGCCACACUGGAACUGAGACACGGUCCAGACUCCUACGGGAGGCAGCAGUAGGGAAUCUUCCGCAAUGGGCGAAAGCCUGACGGAGCAACGUCGCGUGAGUGAUGAAGGUCUUCGGAUCGUAAAACUCUGUUAUUAGGGAAGAACAAAUGUGUAAGUAACUAUGCACGUCUUGACGGUACCUAAUCAGAAAGCCACGGCUAACUACGUG
rnacentral:rRNA from 1 species